rnacentral:rRNA from 1 species
ACGCACGCUGGCGGCGUGCUUAACACAUGCCAGUCGCACGGAAAGGCCCUGCUUGCAGGGUACUCGUGUGGCGAACGGGUGAGUAACACGUGGGUGAUCUGCCCUGCACUUCGGGAUAAGCCUGGGAAACUGGGUCUAAUACCGGAUAGGAGCCAUUUUUAGUGUGAUGGUUGGAAAGUUUUUUCGGUGUAGGAUGAGCUCGCGGCCUAUCAGCUUGUUGGUGGGGUAAUGGCCUACCAAGGCGGCGACGGGUAGCCGGCCUGAGAGGGUGGACGGCCACAUUGGGACUGAGAUACGGCCCAGACUCCUACGGGAGGCAGCGGUGGGGAAUAUUGCACAAUGGGCGCAAGCCUGAUGCAGCGACGCCGCGUGGGGGAUGACGGCCUUCGGGUUGUAAACUCCUUUCGCUAGGGACGAAGCUUUUUGUGACGGUACCUAGAGAAGAAGCACCGGCUAACUACGUG